rnacentral:lncRNA from 1 species
UAGAUAGGCCUCGAUAAUUCAAUAUCACAGCCUAAUAUUAUUUAAGUGUCCAAUAUCUCAUCAUUGUAGGGACCUGUUUGUGGCUGGGUGUUGUGUAUUUGAUUGUUACUGUAAUAUAUUCCUGUGUGUGUGUGUGUGUGUGUGUGUGUGUGUGAGAGAGAGUGUGUUAGAAAGCGAGAGAGAAAGAUAAUAGUUGAGUAUUGUCUAGGAGUGUGUGUGUGACUGUGUCUAGGAGUGUGUGUGUGACUGUGUCUAGGAGUGUGUGUGUGACUGUGUGUCUAGGAGUGUGUGUGUGUGUGACUGUGUGUCUAGGAUGGUGUGUGUGUGACUGUGUGUCUAGGAGGGUGUGUGUGUGACUGUGUGUCUAGGAGGGUGUGUGUGACUGUGUCUAGGAGUGUGUGUGUGACUGUGUGUGUGUGACUGUGUGUCUAGGAGGGUGUGUGUGUGUGACUGUGUGUCUAGGAUGGUGUGUGUGUGACUGUGUGUCUAGGAGGGUGUGUGUGUGACUGUGUGUCUAGGAGGGUGUGUGUGACUGUGUGUCUAGGAGUGUGUGUGUGACUGUGUGUCUAGGAGUGUGUGUGUGACUGUGUGUCUAGGAGGGUGUGUGUGUGACUGUGUGUCUAGGAGGGUGUGUGUGUAACUGUGUCUAGGAGGGUGUGUGUGAUUGUGUGUCUAGGAGUGUGUGUGACUGUGUGUCUAGGAGUGUGUGUGUGACUGUGUCUAGGAGGGUGUGUGUGACUGUGUGUCUAGGAGGGUGUGUGUGACUGUGUGUCUAGGAGGGUGUGUGUGUGACUGUGUGUCUAGGAGUGUGCGUGUGACUGUGUGUCUAGGAGUGUGUGUGUGACUGUGUGUCUAGGAGUGUGUGUGUGACUGUGUGUCUAGGAGUGUGUGGGUGACUGUGUGUCUAGGAGGGUGUGUGUGACUGUGUGUCUAGGAGGGUGUGUGUGUGACUGUGUGUCUAGGAGGGUGUGUGUGUGACUGUGUGUCUAGGAGUGUGUGUGUGACUGUGUGUCUAGGAGAGUGUGUGUGUGACUGUGUGUCUAGGAGGGUGUGUGUGUGACUGUGUGUCUAGGAGGGUGUGUGUGUGACUGUGUGUCUAGGAGGGUGUGUGUGUGACUGUGUGUCUAGGAGGGUGUGUGUGUGACUGUGUGUCUAGGAGGGUGUGUGUGUGACUGUGUCUAGGAGGGUGUGUGUGACUGUGUGUCUAGGAGUGUGUGUGACUGUGUGUCUAGGAGGGUGUGACUGUGUGUCUAGGAGGGUGUGUGUGUGACUGUGUGUCUAGGAGUGUGUGUGUGACUGUGUGUCUAGGAGUGUGUGUGUGACUGUGUGUCUAGGAGGGUGUGUGUGUGACUGUGUGUCUAGGAGUGUGUGUGUGACUGUGUCUAGGAGUGUGUGUGUGACUGUGUCUAGGAGUGUGUGCGUGUGACUGUGUGUCUAGGAGUGUGUGUGUGACUGUGUGUCUAGGAGUGUGUGCGUGUGACUGUGUGUCUAGGAGGGUGUGUGUGACUGUGUGUCUAGGAGGGUGCGUGUGACUGUGUGUCUAGGAGUGUGUGUGUGACUGUGUGUCUAGGAGUGUGUGUGUGACUGUGUGUCUAGGAGUGUGUGUGUGACUGUGUGUCUAGGAGUGUGUGUGUGACUGUGUCUAGGAGUGUGUGCGUGUGACUGUGUGUCUAGGAGUGUGUGCGUGUGACUGUGUGUCUAGGAGUGUGUGUGUGACUGUGUCUAGGAGUGUGUGCGUGUGACUGUGUGUCUAGGAGUGUGUGUGUGACUGUGUGUCUAGGAGUGUGUGUGUGACUGUGUGUCUAGGAGUGUGUGUGUGACUGUGUGUCUAGGAGUGUGUGUGUGACUGUGUGUCUAGGAGUGUGUGUGUGACUGUGUGUGUGUGUGACUGUGUGUCUAGGAGGGUGUGUGUGUGACUGUGUGUCUAGGAGGGUGUGUGUGUGACUGUGUGUCUAGGAGGGUGUGUGUGACUGUGUGUCUAGGAGGGUGUGUGACUGUGUGUCUAGGAGGGUGUGUGUGACUGUGUGUCUAGGAGCGUGUGUGACUGUGUCUAGGAGGGUGUGAGUGACUGUGUGUCUAGGAGGGUGUGUGUGACUGUGUGUCUAGGAGUGUAUGUGUGACUGUGUGUCUAGGAGUAUGUGUAAAUGUGUGUCUAGGAGGGUGUGUGUGACUGUGUGUCUUGGAGGGUGGGUGUGACUGUGUGUCUAGGAGGGUGUGUGUGACUGUGUGUCUAGGAGGGUGUGUGUGACUGUGUGUCUAGGAGUGUGUGUGUGACUCUCUCAGCUCAGUGGCCAGUCUUUGCCAGUGUGUCACUGCGGUAAUAAAGACGGAUGGGCCUGUCUGCUGUUGCUGUGAUUGGGCUGCAGCUGAUCUGUGUGUGUGUGAAUAGCAUACUCUGAAUAGCAUACUCUGAGUUGUCCUUAUGUUAGGUCCUGAUCUGGCUAUGCCAUAUGGCUGUGGGCUACCCUAGUUCAUAGCAGACAAGAUUUGCUUAGAAUUCCAUGGCAUUAUUUUAUAUUAUUUUAUAGUAUGACGAAUACAAUUGAACAAAGAUGAAUAAAAUAGAAAGGAUAUGUUCUCCAAACGAUUUGCAGGAUUGUGCACAUGCAGCUAUUCUGUGUUGAGCGGUUAACAAAGAAAUAGGUCCUCCUAUAUGCUUAAUUUAGAGUUAUUAAUGUAACUUUAGUCGUUCUACAAACGUUGGGCUAUAUGUUUAGAUUUUUAAUACAUUGUAAGGCUGCAUGAUGCGAAUCUAAUGAUGAUUUGAAAAAAGUCGCUUGAAAGCCAUGAGCUGUACACACUACAUCAGUCACUCAUUCACAAUUUGACAAGCACUUGAUAAUGACUUUUGUGGCCAGUGGCCAUUCUGCGCUUCUCACUGAGUGUUGUGCGCUCCAUCAGGUGAUGGGUCUUUCUCACAGGCUACAAGUGAAGACAGACACAUCGGGAACGCAACUGCGCAACUGCGCGCAUCCUCCGUGCAUAUUGAAGAUAUUGGAAGAACUGUCCACAUUUACUUUUCGUCAGCCAACAAUAUGAGUUGGCCUAACGAACAGCAAAAGCAAUAGCCUAUGUCAAUCUACUAUCCCCCAUAGUACAAAGGUCAGCCUAUUCUAUUCUGUGCGAGAAAUAAAUAUUCCAAACAUAAUCUGGGACAGUUGUGGGAUGCGAUAGAUUUCAAAUGAAUACAACCACUAGCAUCAAAAACAUUUUUUUACGCAAUGCGGCUGACGCAACAGAUCAGAAUGUUUAGCUUGAAAUGUUGAUAAACUAUUAGGCUAUUUCUUCACAUUAUAAGCGUAGCAAUGUGAACAUGGUAGUAGGCUAUAAGAGCGAAUGUUCCAUUAGCGGAAAACACCAUUAUCAAAAGUGGCAAAUGCAAUUAUGCAUGUAAUGCUUUUAUUAUAAAGGUGCAUUUUAAUGGUGAAAAUGAUCUUCCCCAAACUUGAAACUCACGCGCUACUUAAGUAUGCCAGUUAGUCUCUACACCCCUUGUAAAGCAGAUUAAUGUGCUUCCUUUUAAAACGUUAUGUGGCCACUUUAGUUGUAAUACAAACCUUAUUAAAACAUUUAGGCCUAUGGGCUAGGCUACAUGAGGUCUGCGACUAUUAUUCAUUGUAUUGUUUCUUAUACUGGGCAUCAUUCACAAGUCAUAAUAUAUAAUUCAGAAGUGAUAGACUAAUAUUGUCACCCACCAUACUAUUCUUGAUUUAAUUUUGCUUUUACAUAUACUAAAUAAUAUAUGUGUGACAUUUGUUUUGAUUUAGAAGGAACCAUUAACAUGCACCUGUAUGGAAACAGGAGCAGGGGAAAAUACAUGUCAUCUAUACACUGAAAUAGUGAAUGGAGGACGCUUUUCCCCAUGGCUUAUUUUCAUGCCAGCCAGGUAGGCUAUACACCUGUUGUAAAUAUAAGCAAUGUGCUUAAUAUUAGGAAAGUUGAGAAAUAAGUUGAGAAAUAUAUUAGGCCUAGCCUAUAGAAACCUGAUUAGUAGAGGCCAUCACUCAAUUGCAUAUCUUACUGAAAUGUUGCGCAACAUGAGCUCAUGGGAUCUCAUGAAGUGGUAGAUUUUUGAAUUGUCAGAGUGAUUAGAGGGGCAAUAGAGUGCUGAGUACCAGGCAGUUAGCAAGUUUGGUAGGUUACUAAUGACCGUCAGCAGCAUCAGAGCUUGGAGAAGCCUAAUAACCAUGACUAAACGGUCACGUGGAAUUUCACUGCCUUCAGGACUCGUGACCGCUGGUGUGGCGGUAAUAUGGUCACCGCAACAGCCCUAGUAACACAGAGAGCAUGAAAGAGAACCAUGGCUGGAAAGAGAAAUGGAGCAGAGGAUAGAGAAAGAGAAAGAAAGAAAGAGAGAACUGUGCUAUACCCUGGACUCUGUGACUCCUAAGUCAAACCCAGUCACCUGGCACAAACCGCCACCAGCCAUAAUGUCAUCCAUAACCUCCUGCUGACAGUAACACCCAUACCACCUCAUCAUCAGCUUUGCACGUUAUGCCCUAUUAUAAGACAGAGAGAGUAAAGCUGGGUCCCAAAUGGCACUAUUCCCUUUAAAGUACACGACUUUUGACCAGGACGCAGCUGCAGAGAGCAAUAUGUACAUGCUUAAUCAUCGCUUUAUUAACAUUUAAAACAUUAGCCAGCUCAAACAAUGUCUCAUCCUACUGUAUUUGUCCCCUGUGACCCCAGUGCCACCUCACAGAAAUAUAGAGAGGACACUGGGUUCAGAUGGGUGCAUCUCAAGGAGUUGAAGUUCAUUUAUCCUGUAUCACCUACCGCAUCAGCCCCUUGGGUGAGUGACUGUGAGUGAUAGGUGACAGUAAUAUGGUGUCAGCCCUAAGAUUGAUUGACUCUUACCUAUCAAGCCGCCCCUCCCUCCCUCUUUUUCCAGGUCAGUGGGAAUAAAGGACAAAACGCCAUUUCACUUCAAACAAACACUGUAUAGCCUCGUUAAAACUAUAAUUCUGAUCUCAUGGAUCGUCAGUCCUUGCAUCAACAGCUCCGUCUAGGAACCCCCAGCCCAUAGCUGUUUACCAAAAGAGAAAAAAAAAGAGUGGCAGGGAAAAGCUUUGUUGUUUGAAUCUGUCAUGUGUCAGUCGUGCAGAGAUGAGAACGGAGUCAGGCGCAGGACACUGAACUGAGUAAAAUAGCGUACUUUACUCGGUAAAAUAAUCAGCCAAAUAAAUCCACUCAGGGAUAACAAAACCCUAACACAAAAGACUAAAACAAAACCAGGAAACAAUCACGCACAAAACAUAAUGAGAACCAGUGGGUUAAAUAGGGAAAUAAUAAUAACGUAAUGGGAACCAGGUGUGAACAAUCAAGACAUAACAAAUGGAAAAAGAAACGUGGAUCGGUGGCAACUAGAAAGCCGGCGACGACAACCGACGAACGCCGCCCGAACAAGGAGAGGCACAAACUUCGGCGGAAGUCGUGACAGUAUCCCCAGCAGUGCGCUCCAGCAGUGCGCCGACACCGGCCUCGGGGACGACCCGGAGGACGAGGCACAGGGCGAUCUGGGUGGAGACUGUGAAAUUCCUGCAGUAAGGAAGGGUCCAGUAUGUCCUCCACCGGCACCCAGCAUCUCUCCUCUGGACCGUACCCCUCCCACUCCACGAGGUACUGAAGGCCCCUUGCCCGACGCCUUGAGUCCAUGAUGGCUCGCACUGUAUACGCCGGGUCCCCCUCGAUGUCCAAAGGGGGCGGAGGAACCUCCCACACCUCAGACUGCUGGAGCGGACCAGCCACCACCGGCCUGAGGAGAGACACAUGGAACUAAUACGAUAAUCAGGGGGAAGCUGUAACAUACCUCGUUCAGUCUCCUCAGGACUUUAAAUGGCCCCACAAACCGCGGACCCAGCUUCCGGCAGGGCAGGAGAAGGGGCAGGUUUCGGGUCGAGAGCCAGACCCGGUCUCCCAGUGCAUAUACCGGGGCCUCACUAUGGUGGCAGUCGGCGCUCGCCUUCUGUCGCCUGAUGGCUCAUUGCAGGCGUACAUGGGCAGCGUCCCAGGUUUCCUCCGAGAGCCGAAACCAUUCAUCCACCACAGGUGCCUCGAUCUGGCUCUGAUGCCACGGUGCCAGAACCGGCUGAUAACCUAGUACACACUGAAACGGGGACAGGUUAGUGGAGGAGUGGCGGAGGGAGUUUUGGGCCAUCUCCGCCCAGGGGAUGAAAUCCGACCACUCCCCCGGCCGGUCCUGGCAAUAAGACCGCAGAAACCUACCCACAUCCUGGUUAACUCUCUCCACCUGCCCAUUACUUUCGGGGUGAAACUCUGAGGUCAGGCUGAUCGAGACCCCCAGACGUUCCAUGAACGCCCUCCAGACCCUUGAUGUGAACUGGGGACCCCAAUCAGACACUAUAUCCUCAGGCACCCCAUAGUGCAGAAAGAGGUGUAUAAACAGGGCCUCCACAGUCUGUAGGGCCGUAGGGAGACCGGGAAAAGGAAUGAGACGGCAGGACUUAGAAAGCUGAUCCACAACAACCAGAAUCGUGGUGUUUCCUCGUGACGGAGGGAGAUCCUUCACGAAAGCCACCGAUAGGUGUGACCUCGGCCAUUGUGGAACGGGUAGGAGUUGUAAUUUCCCUCUGGGCAGGUGUCUAGGUGCCUUGCACUGAGCGCACACCGAGCAGGAGGAAACAUACACCCUCACGUCCUUAGCUAAAGUGGGCCACCAGUACUUCCCACUAAGACAGCGCACUGUCCGAAAGAUGCCAGGAUGACCAGAGGAAGGUGACGUAGGAGCCCAACAGAUCACGAACAUCAGACUGAACGUACUUACGUCCAACUGGACACUGGGUGGGAGUGGGCUCCGCACGUAACGCCUGCUCGAUGUACGCGUCAACCUCCCAUACCGCCGUUGCCAUCCGGCAAGAAGCCGGGAGUAUGGGAGUGGGAUCCGUGGAUCUCUCCUCUGUGUCAUACAUCCGAGACAGUGCGUUUGCCUUAGCGUUCUGGGAACCUGGUCUGUAGGAUAGAGACGGGUGAAAAACGGGUGAAAAACAUGGCCCACCUUGCCUGGCGAGGAUUCAUUCUCCUUGCCGCCCGGAUGUACUCCAGAUUGCGGUGGUCAGUCCAAAUGAGAAAAGGGUGUUUAGCCCCCUCAAGCCAAUGCCUCCACGCUUUCAGAGCCCCGACAACAGCUCCCGGUUCCCCACAUCAUAGUUUCGCUCCACCGGGCUGAGCUUCUUCGAAAAGAACGCACAGGGGCAGAGUUUUGGUGGCGUCCCCGAGUGCUGAGACAGCACAGCUCCUAUCCCAGCCUCAGACGCGUCCACCUCUACUAUGAACGCUAAGGAGGGAUCAGGAUGAGCCAACACAGGAGCCGAGGUAAACAGAGCCUUCAGGUGACCAAAAUCCCUGUCGCACCGGUCCCCCUUCAGCAAAGAGGUAAUGGGAGCCGCUACUUGACCAAAGCCCCAGAUAAACCUCCGAUAGUAGUUGGCAAACCCUAAGAACCACUGCACCUCUUUACGGUGGUUGGAGUCGGCCAAUUCGCACGGCUGAAAUGUGGUCAUUCUCCAUCUCCACCCCUGACUUGGACAGGUGAUACCCUAGGAAGGAGACGGACUGUUGGAAGAACAGACAUUUCUCCGCCUUAACGUACAGGUCAAGCUCCAACAGUCGACCAAGCACCAUGCGCACCAGAGACACAUGCUCGGCGCGUGUAGCGGAAUAUAUUAGAAUGUCAUCUAUAUACACCACUACACCCUGCCCGUGCAGGUCCCUGAAAAUGUCGUCUACAAAGGAUUGGAAGACGGAUGGAGCAUUCAUCAACCCGUACAGCAUGACAAGGUACUCAGUGCCCAGAGGUGGUACUAAAUGCCGUCUUCCACUCAUCCUCCUCCCAGAUACGCACCAGGUUGUAAGCAUUCCUGAGAUCCAAUUUGGUGAAGAAGCGCACCCCAUGCAAUGACUCGGUCACACUGGCAAUGAGAGGCAGAGGGUAACUAUACUUCACCGUGAUCUGAUUUAAACCUCUAUAGUCAAUGCACAGGCGUAAACCUCCAUCCUUCUUCACAAAAAAGAAACUUGAGGAGGCAGGUGAAGUGGAAGGCCGAAUGUAUCCCUGUUCCAGAGAUUCGGUGACAUAUGUUUCCAUAGCCGCCAUCUCCUCCUGUGACAGAGGAUACACGUGACUCCUGGGAAGUGCUUCGUCUACCAGGAGAUUUAUCGCACAAUCCCCCCAUCGAUGGGGUGGUAGUUGAGUCACCUUCUUUUUACAGAAGGCGAGAGCCAAAUCGGCAUAUUCAGGGGGGAUGUGCAUGGUGGAGACCUGGUUUGGACUCUCCACCUUAGUUGCACCUAUGGAAACACCUAUACACCUCCCUGAACACUGACGUGACCAUCCCUUGAGAGCCCUCUGUUGCCACGAAAUAAUGGGUUCAUAAUGGGCCAACCAGGGAAACCCCAACACCACAAGAAACACAGGAGAAUAUAUCAGGAAGAGACUAAUUCUCUCCUCAUGACCCUCCUGCGUUAUCAUACAUAGUGGAGCUGUGACUUCCCUAAUCAGACCCGACCCUAAAGGACGACUAUCUAAGGAAUGUACAGGGUAGGGCACAUCAACAGGAACAAUAGGGAUCCCUAAUCGACGAGCCAACGAAGGUCAAUAAAGUUCCCAGCUGCGCCUGAAUCUACUAGCGCCUUAUGCUGGGAAUGCGGGGAAAACUCAGGAAAUUCUAUAGAUAUAUACAUGUGUGCAACAGGAAGCUCUGGGUAAGUUGGGUGCAUACUCACCUGGGAUGAUCCACCAGUGCCCUACCUGCUGCCUCGACAUCCUGGGAACCUCUCCAGCACCGACCAGCAGUGUGUCCUCUGCGGCCACAGAUAGUGCAGGAAACAGCCCUCCCUCCGGUCACCCUUAGAGCAGCACCUCCGAGCUCCAUAGGUGUAGGAUCGGAGGUGCUGGGGGAUGGAAUGGACGGACCCCGAUCUGGACGUCCGCGGGUGGCCAACAGGUUAUCCAGCUGGAUGGAUAAAUCCACCAGCUGGUCGAGGGUAAAGGUGGUGUCCCUGCAGGCCAGCUCCAGACGAACGUCCUCCCGUAGACUACAUCAGUAAUGGUCGAUCAGGGCCCUCUCAUUCCAUCCCGCACUGGCAGCCAGGGUCCUGAAGUCCAGUGCGAAUUCCUGUGCGCUCCCCAUCCCCUGUCUGAGAUGGAACAAGCGUUCCUCCGCCGCUCUCCCCUCAGGUGGAUGAUCGAAGACCGCCCGGAAGCGCCGGGUGAAAUCCUCAUAGCGGACCAAUGUUGCGUCUAUACUUCCCCAUUCCGCAUUGGCCCACUCAAGCGCCUUCCCCGACAGACAGGAGAUGAGGGCGGACACGCUCUCAUAUCCCGAGGGAGCCGGGUGGACGGUCGCCAGGUAGAGCUCCAACUGGGGCAGGAACUCCUGGCACCCGGCAGCCGUCCCAUCAUAAGCGCUCGGGAGCGAGAGCCGAAUCCCACUGGGUCCAGGUGACGGAGGAGUGGACAGCGUUGUGGGUUGUGGUGUUGGUUGGAGUGAAGUUGAUGGGGUUGUGGGAACACCCCCUCUUUCCCAUCAUUCCAUGGUGAGCAGCAUGCGAUCGAUCCAUGGCUGUGCCAAGAUGUUGGAGCAUCGUCGCGUGCUGCUGGACGCGUUCCUCCACUGGUAGCGGAGGACUGGGUGCAGCUGCUGACUCCAUAAAAAAGUGGUGCGUGAUUCUGUCAUGUGUCAGUUGUGCAGAGAUGAGAACGGAGUCAGGCGCAGGACACAGAACUGAGUAAAAUAGCGUACUUUACUCUGGAAAAUAAUCAGCCAAAUAAAUCCACGCAGGGAUAACAAAACCCUAACACAAAAGACUAAAACAAAACCAGGAAACAAUCAUGCACAAAACAUAAUGAGAACCAGUGGGUUAAAUAGGGAAAUAAUAAUAACGUAAUGGGAACCAGGUGUGAACAAUCAAGACAUAACAAAUGGAAAAAGAAACGUGGAUCGGUGGCAACUAGAAAGCCGGCAACGACGACCGCCGAACGCCACCCGAACAAGGAGAGGCACCAACUUCGGCGGAAGUCGUGACAGAAUCCCAGAUUGCCCCUUUAAAGACAAUUUCCCUGACGUUCACAGGGAUCACAUUCACGGUUGUCACUGCGGAUAUCGACACAAGUGUAAAUUACUUUUAAAAGUCAAGUGCAUUGCCCGGCCAGGGCAUAUCAGUUGGAAUGAAGGGACUUGUCAGGACUAGUCCUAUGUAGGAAUGAAGGGACUUGUUGGGACUAGUCCCAUGACAGUGACUCAUCUGAGAAUGGUCACAGGGUCGGUGGGAAUGAAGGACAGGAAGCAUUUUAAGACUGGUUUGGACCAGUCCUAUUAUAUGACAAAUCUCUCUCACUUGAGUAAAUCACCUCAUUAUUUUCAUUUAGCUCUUUCGUAGCUUUGUUAACUGUGUGUGCUUUCUAACCCAGUUCGCUCCUCUCCCUGUAGGCUUUACAGACGGUCCCCACCCGGUGGCUAAAACCCUUCUAAUUUAAUGUACCCUGCACGCACAAACCAUGUGAAAUUCCUAGUCUCCGGUAGCAUUUGGAACUGGCAAUAUGUUGCCCUUAAGUCCUUACACUUUUUUGGCAUGACGGAGGGCUACUCAUUUCUCCUAAGUGGAGAUUUUCUCUUUCCCCCUAUCUCCUGUCUAUUUCCUCAUGCUGUCACUUGUCUUCUUGACCCUAACCAGUCAGGCUUCAAGAUGGCUUACUCAACUGAUACCACUCUCCUCUGCGUCACAGAGGUUCUCCGCUCUGCCAAAGCUGACACUCUCUCCACUGUUCUCAUCCUCCGAGAUCUAUCCACUGCCUUUGACAUCGUGAACCAUCAGAUCCACCCUCUCGGGUAUGUGCAUCUCAGGCUCUGCACACUCUUGGAUUGUAUCCUACCUGGCAGAUCGCUCCUACCAGGUGACGUGGAGAGGAUCUGAGUCUGCACCACAUGCUCUCACUACUGGUGUCUCCCAGGGCUCGAUUGUAGGCCCUCUCCUCUUCUCUCGUCUUCCCUCUUCUCUCUAUACACCAAGUCACUCGGCGCCAUCAUAUCCUCAUAUGGUCUUUCCUAUCAUUGCUUUGCAAAUGACGCUGCUUUGCGAAUGACACUACUUUGCGGAUGACACUACUUUUCUCCCUCACCCAUUCUGAUACCCAGGUGGCGACACGCAUCUCUGCAUACCUGGCAGAUAUCUCAGCUUGGAUGUCAACCCACCACCUCAAGCUCCAAGGCCUCUCAUUCAUGGUUGACAAAUCCAUGGUGUCCCCCUUUCAGAAUGAAAAAAAACCUUGGUGUGACCCUGGACAACACCCUGUCAUUCUCUGCAAACAUGAAAUUUCAGCUUCAAGUUUUAACGUCUCAUGCACAAGUACGGUGAAAUGCCUUUCUUGAAAGCUCUAAACCCAACAAUGCAGUAAUUAAUUACAAAAUGUAGUGGUAAAAAACUAUAAGGUAGAACAACAACACAUGAGAAAUAAAAAUAAGAAAUAAGAACAUGAGAAGUAAGCAUACUAUAUACAUGAUCAGUUCCAGUAGCAUAUUUACAAUGUCCAGGGAUACUGAAGUGAUAACGGUAGAUACAUUAUAUUGUACAUACAAAAGUAUGUGGACACCCCUUCAAAUUCGUGGAUUCGGCUAUUUCAGACACACCCAUUGCAUGACAAGUGUAUAAAAUCAAGCACACAGCCAUGCAAUCUCCAUAGACAAACAUUGGCAGCUGAAUGGCCUUAAUGAAGAGCUCAGUGACUUUCAACGUGGCACCUUCAUAGGUGCCAACUUUUCAAUAAGUCAGUUUGUCAAAUUUCUGCCCUGCUAGAGCUGCCCCGGCCAACUUUAAGUGCUGUUAUUGUGAAGUGGAAAUGUCUAGGAGCAACAACGGUUCAGCCGCGAAGUGGUAGGCCACAAGCUCACAGAACAGUACCUCCGAGUGCUGAAGUGCAUAGCGAGUAAAUAUCGUCUGUCCUCGGUUGCAACACUCACUACUGAGUUCCAAACUGCCUCUGGAAGCAACGUCAGCACAAGAAUUGUUCAUCGGGAGCUUCAUGAAAUGGGUUUCCAUGGCCGAAAAGUUGCACACAAGCCUAAGAUCACCAUGCUCAAUGCCAAGCCUCGGCUGGAGUGGUGUAAACCUCGCCGCCAUUGGACUCUGGAGCAGUGGAAACGCGUUCUCUGGUGUGAUGAAUCAAUCUUUACCAUGAAUCUGGGUUUGGCGGAUGCCAGGAGAACACUACCUGCCCCGACUGCAUAGUGCCAACUGUAAAGUUUGGUGGAGGAGGAAUAAUGUUUUUCAUGGUUUGGGCUAGGCCUCUUAGUUCCAGUGAAGAGACAUAUUAACCCCCCAGCAUAGAAUGACAUUCUAGACGAUUCUGUGAGUCCAACUUUGUGGCAACAGUUUGAGGUGAGGAAGGUCCUUUCCUGUUUCAGCAUGACAAUGCCCUGUGCACAAAGAGAGGUCCAUACAUAUUUUUUUUUCUGAGAUCGGUGUUUAAGAACUUGACUGGUUUGCACAGAGACCUGACCUCAACCCCAUCAAACACCUUUGAGAUCAAUUGGAAUGCCGACUAUGAGCCAGGCCUAAUCGCUCAAAAUCAGUGCCCGACCUCACUAAUGCUCUUGUGGCUGAAUGAAAGCAAGUCCCCGCAGCAAUUUUCCAACAUCUAGUGGAAAGCCUUCCCAAAAGAAUGGCGGCUGUUAUAGCAGCAAAAUGGGGACCAACUCCAUAUUAAUGCCAUGGUUUUGGAAUGAGAUUUUUGACGAGCAGGUGUCCACAUACUUUUGGUCAUGUAGUGUAUAUAUAGGGGUAAGGUGACUAGGCAUCAGGAUAUAUGAUAAACAGAGACUCGCUCCUGUAGGUUCAUGGUCUACAACAUCCGUAGAGUACAACCCUUCCUCACACAGGAAGCAGCGUAGGUCCUAAUCCAGGAUCUUGUCAACUCCUGUCUAGACUACUGCAACUCUCCGUUGGCUGGGCUCCCUGCUUGUGCAAUCAAACCCCUGCAACUUAUCCAGAACACCGCAACCCGCCUAGUGUUCAACCUUCCCAAGUUCUCUCUUGUCACCCAUUCCUCUGAACACUCCACUGGCUUCCAGUCUAAGCUCGCAUCCACUACAAGACCAUGGUGCAAAGAGUAUCUUAAAUUAAUCCCACGGUGAGCACUGCUAAAUGACUCAAAUGGAAACGCAAACGUUAUGAUGAUGACUCUGAUAGACCCAGGGUUAGAGUGACCUCAUUUUCCUGUCGGUCCAUGUGCCUCCAGGUCACUGUGACUCAACUGAAACACAGAUUGACUGACUGUUCUGUGCACAGUCGUAUGUGUCUCAAAUAUGCUCCCUGGACCAAAGUAGUGCACUAUAUAGGGCAUAUGGGUGCCAUUUGGGACGAAUCCUCUGACUCUCAGAGAGUGUAGUGUUUGCAUGCAAUUGAACUCAUUAGAACUUCAACAGUUUGUACAUUUGCUGUAAUUUUCUCAUCUGUGUCAGUAUAACAGCAUGUAAAGAGGAUAACACAUGGGCAAUUAUCUGCAUUUACAAUACUACUGUAUCUGAACUGUCUACACACAUAUAUAUAUAUACACACACAUAAAUACUACUGUCAUCUACAUAUAAAUACAGUAUUUUUUAGAUAAACAGUACAUCAAACUGAAGGUUCAUAGAUCAGGUACAGGGCUUCCGAGUGCUGAACAGAGUGGCCUUGUGCUUGCCACCUGAUCCUAUUACCUUCAUGAAGGAACAAGUUGUUUAAUCUGCUCUCCUCCCUUUCCAUCAAUCCAAGUGGCUAACACUGCAGCCUCUCCUCUGCUAGACAUAUUACACCUGGCUUCAAAUAGUAUUUUCUCCUGAUAAGGGAUUUAUAUGUUUAAAUGUAAUGAUUAAAUAAUUCCACCCUGAAACUUAACUAUUAGUGAUUAUUAGUUAUGUAGCAUGUAUAAUGAAAGAUUAAAGUACUAAACAUAAGUCCCAUAAGGUUUAGUAGAGACCUGUAAUGAAGAGGAAUGUAUGUGUGUAUGUGUGUGCCUAAGAGAAUACCGAGAACAAUGAAGACUGUGUUUGGCUCGACCUGGCUAGAACUGAGAAACCUAUGAUAAGACAGGGAGUACUCCUCAAUGUUCCUCUAAUCUCGGGGGAAUGGAACGGACAGCGCUGGGUAGUGAUUAACCGUGGUGAGAACUCUGGGGAGGGAUACAACUCACCUACUGUUCGUGUGUAUGUAUAUGCGUGGGAUAUCUACUGUUGGUGUGGAGGUAUGUAAGUAGGGAGUGAGUUAUAAAAUGAAUGUCUUUGUAUAAUGGACAUCAGAACGUUCUCUGAAUAAACUGUACAAACCUUUUGCAUAAGCUGAGUCUUUGCCUAAUUAUUAUUAACCCAGUAUUAACCCAAACCUUGGGGAUUAGUCAAAGCUUAUUGAUUGUUAGUUAUUAUUGAUUGAAAAUUCUCGUGACAUCUCCCCUUAAAAUACUUUGAGCAUUUGAAUGAGACUGCCUGCCUGCCUGCAGUCCAUUUGCAUUGGUUCCAUUGCGCCAGGCAUGCUCAAUCAAGCACAGAUGAAGUAUUUGUGACAAACCAGAUUUAAACUCAGGUACUAUUUGAUCGACUCUCCUGACACAUCUAUCUUCUCAGUGUGUGUGUGUGUGUGUGUUUGUGUGCGUGUGUGUGUGUUUGUGUGUGUAUGUUUGUGUGUGUGUGUUUGUGUGCGUGUGCAUGUGUGUGUUGCACCUCUCUCUUCUCAGUUUCCCAGCCCCUCCAUGUGAAUACUGUACCUGUCUAAUGUAUUCUGUUUCAUUCAGCUGCCUCUCCUUUCAUCUGGACAGAUAAAAGGGCCUGGUCUUAGAGCAGUGUUUAAAUCAGCAUAGUUAAAGCCACAGGACAACAAAGAGGACCGGGCUCCAGAUACAUCAACACAAACACAAACUACAAAGACAACAGGGAUGGUUAAUGAAGGGAGAGAGGGGGACACGUGGCACCUGUCUAAUAUUAGUG